rnacentral:rRNA from 1 species
GAUGAACGCUAGCGGCAGGCCUAAUACAUGCAAGUCGAACGGUGUCUUCGGACAUAGUGGCGCACGGGUGCGUAACACGUAUGCAACCUACCUUACAUUGGGGGAUAGCCUUUCGAAAGGGAGAUUAAUACCGCAUAAGACAGUAGCUGGGCAUCCAGCAGCUGUUAAAGAUUUAUCGAUGUAAGCUGGGCAUGCGUCCAAUUAGCUAGUUGGUGAGGUAACGGCUCACCAAGGCAAUGAUUGGUAGGGGAACUGAGAGGUCAAUCCCCCACACUGACACUGAGAUACGGGCCAGACUCCUACGGGAGGCAGCAGUAGGGAAUAUUGGGCAAUGGACGCAAGUCUGACCCAGCCAUGCCGCGUGCAGGAUGAAGGCGUUAUGCGUUGUAAACUGCUUUUAUACAGGAAGAAACGACUCUUGCGAGAGGCAUUGACGGUACUGUACGAAUAAGCACCGGCUAACUCCGUGCCAGCAGCCGCAGUAAGAC